rnacentral:lncRNA from 1 species
GGCCUUUCUAGGAGCCAGCUUGCUUUCAUCUUACUGUUUUGAUUGUGCCUCACAAGGGACAACACUCCGAUUGUCUAGGAGGAGGAAGGUCAGGGACAGAAAAGUAAAAGCCAGGAGCAGCCUGUCCUGUCUGCCUGGGCUGCUGGGGAAUGAUUGUCAGUGAAUCGAGUUGUCUGUGGAGCCCCUGAGCAAAUUCUCCCAGUGGCAGCAGAUCUCGCAAAAGGGGAGGAAGGCCUUCACCGCUGAACCCGAGCUUUGCCAUUUCGAAGUGCUGAGUCACCUCGUCCUCUCAGGGUCAGACACUUUCACGCAGGAAACGUCCUGCAGAGCACCGCAGCGGGAGCACCGAGCUGACCUGGAAGGAGAGAACAAGGGCCUUCCUGAGGCAGGACAAGGACCCAGAACUACCCAGAAUGCAGCAGGGCGGCCCCGCACGACUGAGCUCUGAUCCUAACCUGCAAAGUGAAGUUUCAAUUUCCACUUCCUGAGAAGAUGUGGAAACUCAGAGAGGAUGCCACUGUUUUGAACUAUUUUGAAGGCACAGCCACCAGAGCUUUAGGUGAGUGACUCUAUGCUUAUAGGCCCAAAUGUAUCUUCACCCCCUCUCACUCCCUGCGCUGUACAGUUUCCCAUUACCCAACAUGCACUUCUGUUAGCAGCUGACUCUUUCCUAAACCUAUUCCUCCAGGGACUUACUUAGCUAGACAACCAGCUUUUCAGUUUCUUCCUUAUUUUCCUACCUAACUUUAUUAAAUUAAAUUGUUUAUUUUUUGAGACAGGGUCUCACCUUGUAGCCCUGAAUGACUUGGAAUUUGCUGUGUAGACCAGGUUGGCUUUGAACUCACAAUUCUCCAUCUGCCUCUGUUCCCAAAUGCUGGGAUUAACAGUCUAUGUCACACAUACCUAGUCUUCCUUCCUAGCUUUCUAUUUUCAGGAAAUGUCUCUUGGGACUCAGUCUAUCAAGACAGGGGUGGAAGUGGAGCUGGCCAGUGGAGUGUUGGGACAAAGCUCUGAGUGGAGCCCUCGAGUUUAAAACGGAAUCUUAGAGAGGACGUGUUUACUCCUGCAUUAUAGAGCACGGACGCUCAUGACUCAGUUUGAUUUUCAUACACCGUUCUGCUCAUCACUGCCAAGUGGAGCAAUCCAGGCCUCUCAAAAUGUGCCAUACUACCUUCCAGCUAAAAGCUUUCUGUGGGGCUGGCGAGAUGGCUCAGCGGGUAAGAGCACCCGAUUGCUCUUCCGAAGGUCCAGAGUUCAAAUCCCAG